ensembl:ncRNA F46E10.15 ncRNA
GAAGAACAGAGAAAACGAGAUAAAGAGCCUCGAGAGCUGAAUUUCAGCAAUGCGGUGGCGGUGGCGGUGAUGAUGAUGGUGGUCUUCGGCGAUGCGGCGCGCAAAAAAUUGGAUUGCCUAAAGAGAACGAGAUGGGCAACGAGA